UACGUAGGGAGCAAGCGUUGUCCGGAAUCAUUGGGCGUAAAGAGCGCGUAGGCGGCCCUGUAAGUCCGCUCUGAAAGUCAAAGGCUCAACCUUUGAAAGCGGGUGGAUACUGCAGGGCUAGAGUCCGGAAGAGGCGAGUGGAAUUCCUGGUGUAGCGGUGAAAUGCGCAGAUAUCAGGAAGAACACCAAUGGCGAAGGCAGCUCUCUGGGACGGUACUGACGCUGAGACGCGAAAGCGUGGGGAGCAAACAGG
rnacentral:rRNA from 1 species